UUUACCAAUUAGCAGGGGAAAGAAAACACAGCAAGAGGACCAGACAGAAGCACCAAACAGACAGACGUUUCAUGGGCUUGAAGCUUCUUUCCAUUUGGAAUUAUAUCUGCGAUUGAAUCCAACACCAUGUAUCGCGUCCUGCUGUUGCU